GAUUGUUAAAGGAUUUUCUGUUGGUUCUACUGACUUUGAACUACAUUCAAAUCAAAUUGAUGAAAAAUACACUCUGUUUCUAAACCUAGACGUCUGUCUUUCAGUCUACUGCCUACAUAGACAGCUGCCUUUUAAGACAGUAUCCUGAGGGAAAUGGAACCUUAUAAGUGACUACUACUAAGUAUCUAUCUGUCUGUCUGUCUGUCUGUCUGUUGUUCGUUCUAUCUAUCUGUCUGUCUGUCUGUCUGUCUGUCUGUCUGUCUGUUGUUCGUUCUAUCUAUCUGUCUGUCUGUCUGUCUGUCUGUCUGUCUGUCUGUUGUUCGUUCUAUCUAUCUGUCUGUCUGUCUGUCUGUCUGUCUGUCUGUCUGUUGUUCGUUCUAUCUAUCUGUCUGUCUGUCUGUCUGUCUGUCUGUCUGUCUGUUGUUCGUUCUAUCUAUCUGUCUGUCUGUCUGUCUGUCUGUCUGUCUGUCUGUUGUUCGUUCUAUCUAUCUGUCUGUCUGUCUGUCUGUCUGUCUGUCUGUCUGUUGUUCGUUCUAUCUAUCUGUCUGUCUGUCUGUCUGUCUGUCUGUCUGUCUGUUGUUCGUUCUAUCUAUCUGUCUGUCUGUCUGUCUGUCUGUCUGUCUGUCUGUUGUUCGUUCUAUCUAUCUGUCUGUCUGUCUGUCUGUCUGUCUGUCUGUCUGUUGUUCGUUCUAUCUAUCUGUCUGUCUGUCUGUCUGUCUGUCUGUCUGUCUGUUGUUCGUUCUAUCUAUCUGUCUGUCUGUCUGUCUGUCUGUCUGUCUGUCUGUUGUUCGUUCUAUCUAUCUGUCUGUCUGUCUGUCUGUCUGUCUGUCUGUCUGUUGUUCGUUUCUAUCUGUCUGUCUGUUGGUCUGUCUGUAUGUUGUUCGUUCUGUCUGUCUAUCUGUCUGUCUGUUGUUCGUUUCUAUCUGUCUGUCUGUAUGUUGUUCGUUCUGUCUGUCUGUCUGUUGAUCUGUCUGUCUGUAUGUUGUUCGUUCUGUCUGUCUGUCUGUUAAUCUAUCUAUCGAUUGAUCAUCUGUCUGUCUGUCCGUCGUUGGUUCGUUCUGUCUGUUUGUUGAUCUAUGUCUGUCUGUCUGUCUGUCUAUCUGUCUAUCUAUCUAUCUGUCUGUCUGUCUGUCUGUCUGUCUGUCUUCUAUGUAUCUGUCUGUCUGUCUAGAAAUUAAGAUUAUAUACAAUAUAAGUUCUAUAUCUAAACCUAUCUAUCAAUCAUGU
ensembl:lncRNA